CUGAUUACAAUGGAAGCUAAUAUUCAAUCAAUUACCAAUCUUUUGAUGACUUCAAGUUUUUACUUCACCAUUGAUUGCAAUUCAAAUCAAAGAUGAUGAUUGAACCAUUGUGAUUGAUGAAUACAUGUAAAACCAACAACAGCUACCAUUUAUUUUCAAACAGCAAGUCCCAACACAAUUGAUGGAUCCAACAUUGAACAGUUAUAGACUACUGCAAGUGUUAAAACAGUAAUCAUCUCGAUCACAGGAUUAAACAAAUUGAAAAACUUUGAAUUACUUUGAACGAUAUAAUCUAAUUAUUUCAUCGAGUUUACUUUAAUUUCAAAUCUCAAAAAAUCUCAAGCUCAACCAUCUCCAUCUGGUUAUUGAGAGACAAACUAAUAAGCUAACGGCUGAUUAAUUUGUCAUGGCUUGUUGUUUUGGCGCUAUUUCUACUUCCAUCUUGGUUAAUAUGGUUUUAGUAAUGGAUUUACAUUAUUAAUUUUUUUUAUUAUUAGUGGACAUUGACAGCUGUAUAAUGGAUAUUACUUGACAAUCAUUAAGUAAUGAUCAUUCCAAUAUAAUCCCGUUCUACUGACCAUUUCAUUCACUUUCAGUGUUUACCGGAUGAUUGCCUGUUUACCGAAAUGAUUAUCAUAAUGUUAAGGUAAAAGAUCAAACUCGUUAACUUGGACAUCAAUAAGUCUUUACAAAUGAAACAAUCACGGUUACAACAAGUAAAUUAAUUAUGAUGGUUGGAUUAUCAAAAGAUUGAUCAAAAGAUUAUUCAGUUGUUGAUUGCCAAUUUAAACGCUGUACAUACGAACAAGAAGAAUCAAGAAAAAGUCAAAGUUACAGUUACCCAGUUGCAGAGAAAAGGUUUUCCCGUUAACUUCCGUCUUGCUUCAAUGUUACCACAAUCAAACGAUUUCUCGUUCAUUGCAAAGACCUUCCAACAACAAUAAUCAGUACCGUUAAACCUAAACAACAAGCCACAACCAUCAAAUGAUUCAUUUUCAUGGUUGUCUGAUAGAUCCGUAAAUUUCAACCAUCAUCUUCAUCACCAUCAGAUACAAAGGUGCCAUCAACAUUAACAGCAACAAAGUUUAUACUUCAAUACUUGGCUUUUUUCAUUGCUGAUGUUUCUGAUGUGCUUAUCCAUUUUGUCUACAACUUUUUUUACCACUCUAGCAACGAUAAAUGCCUCGAUUACUAUGCAUCGAUGAGGAUAAAUAAAAAAUAUUUCAUUUAUUAUCAAAGUUUGGUAUUGUGGAGACAAUUAACUGUUGACUUGUUGCUUUGCAUCGUUAAACCUGUUUGCAAGUUUGUUUUGUCUAUUUGUUGCUCUCCUUUUUCAUUGUUGCUGCCUCUUGUUGUUUAAACGGAAGGAAGAAGGAAGAGGUUAAGAUUGAUGUGCUUCAAGAAAACAGUUAUAUCAAAGUAUAAUAUAACAUAGAAUCAUCAUCAUCAUCAUCGUCAUCGUCAUAAACGACAAUAGCAUCUACCAAAACGUUCUAAUUAUCUUAAAGGCGAAAGUUAAUCAAGGCUGUCUUACCUGGUAAUCAUGGUAUUGUGAGCUGUUCUUAUUAGUACUAUUCACUACUCGGAGAUUAAUGAAUUAAUAAACAUGCUCUAAUAAACAGUACAUAAUGGAUCUUAUUUUCAUUAAAUUCAAUGGCUCAACUUGACGAAAACCUUCCUAAACUAGAUUUAACCUUUUCUCAUUCACUUAAUUCAACACCUAACAUUGUAAGAUCAAGGUAGAAAUGAAGGCUUCAUCCACAAUCAACUGUGAACUCAAGGUGAUUCUUAAAUAGCCAUUUAGUAGCAUUAAAUUUUAAAUUAAGUUUAAAUUGUUAUGAAACUGCAACCCAAAUAAAGUCAACUCUUGCAUCUCUAUUUACCAAGCACAUUAGUAAACAUUUGUUGACUAUUAAACCAAUGGAAACAAUAGCAGCUGUAUUAGACACAAACAAAUUGUAACAAGCAUUUUGUGUGAAAAACAAAUUAACCAUUAAUUGUAACCAAUCACUUAGAUCAAGGUUCAUUAGUCAAUUAAUUAAAUAAUAUUUCAAAUUGUUUACCCGAU